CCGAUAAUUCUUAAAUUCAUUGUUUUCGUUUGCUUUGAAAAUAGGGGUAACUAGAGCUAUUUUUAGAUCAUCAGGAAUAGUUCCAGAAAGAAAAGUUAAGUUAAAUAUGUGUGAAAGUGGUUCAGAAAUUUUUGUAGCAAUCGCUUUGAUUACCUGAGAGCUUAUACCAUCAUAUCCAGGGCUUUUUUUGGAAUUCAAAUUAUUUAUCUCAUUUUCUAAUUCAUCUUUAGUUAUUGGAUUAAUAAAGAAGCUUCCUUUACAGCUAUUAGUGAGAUAUUUAUCAAAAUUUGUUGUGCUAUUCGAAAGUUUUUUUGCAAGUCCUGGGCCAAUAUUUACAAAAUAAUCAUUGAAUCUAUUUGCUAUUGAUUUUGGAUCGGUAAUUUUUUCUCCAGGACUAUUUCCAAUAAAUUCCUUUGGUAACAUACUACUUGUUUUAUUUCGAUUCAUAAUUUCAUUUAAUGUUUUCCAUAGUACCUUUGUAUCAUGUUUAUAUUUUAUUAACUGUUCUUCGUAAUGUUUCUUUUUUGCCGCUCUUAUUAUAUGAUUUAGUUUAUUUUUAUAUUGUUUGUAUAUUUUUUCCUUUUUUUCUGUAGGACAUUGAAGGUAUUUUUUAUAUAACUUGUUCUUUUGCUUAACUGAUUUUGCAAUACAUUUUGUCAUCCAUGGGCUUCGGGUUUUGUCAAUAUUUCGUUUUACUACUUUUCUUCUUAAUGGAAAGUUUUUUU